rnacentral:rRNA from 1 species
UACGGGGGGGAGCAAGCGUUGUUCGGAUUUACUGGGCGUAAAGGGCGCGUAGGCGGCGUGACAAGUCACUUGUGAAAUCUCCGGGCUUAACUCGGAACGGUCAAGUGAUACUGUCGGACUAGAGUACAGAAGGGGCAACUGGAAUUCUUGGUGUAGCGGUGAAAUGCGUAGAUAUCAAGAGGAACACCUGCGGCGAAGGCGGGUUGCUGGGCUGAUACUGACGCUGAGGAGCGAAAGCGUGGGGAGCGAACAGG